AGAGUUUGAUUAUGGCUCAGGAUGAACGCUAGCGGCAGGCUUAACACAUGCAAGUCGAGGGGCAGCGGGGUGUAGCAAUACACUGCCGGCGACUGGCGCACGGGUGCGUAACGCGUAUGCAACCUACCCAUAACAGGGGCAUAACACUGAGAAGUUGGUACUAAUUCCCCAUAACAUUCGAAGAGGCAUCUCUUUGGGUUGAAAACUCCGGUGGUUAUGGGUGGGCAUGCGUUGUAUUAGCUAGUUGGUGAGGUAAUGGCUCACCAAGGCGACGAUACAUAGGGGGACUGAGAGGUUAACCCCCCACAUUGGUACUGAGACACGGACCAA
rnacentral:rRNA from 1 species